ensembl:lncRNA
CAGAGCCUCUCAGGAGAUGUCCGUGUAUGCUGACUUCUCUCAGAGAAUCAGAGAGGAACAGUUAGAGAUCUGCAUAGCUCAGUCGGAAGGAGAGGAAGGUUGAAUCUCCACACACCGUCUGGCCCAUAUCCUCAGGGAGGUUGUGGAUGCUCCUGCCCUGAUAGACUGACCUUGGAUACACUGGCCUCUGGGCCACCAUGAAACAGCAGCAAGUGCCACCUCUGAGCCCUAAGUGUCUACCGAAGUCCUGAUGAGUCACUGUGGCUGCUUGCCCACUACCCCUGACGUUCAUUGCUGAGUCCUCAGCACCUCAGUGCAAUGUAUCCUUGUUCCUCAGUCUCUGUCUGAGGGGGAAGGGCUGUUGCUUGGCCUUUGUAAGGGAAGAGCUUGCACCUCUCACUACUGCACACUGUUUGGUUAAAUGAGGAAGUGGGGGUGGGGAAGGCCACUGGUUGUCUCUGUCAUUCCUAUCUCAACACCCCAGCACAUUUCCCUGUCUGUAACUCCCCAACCCCACCACCCACCCAUCGAUCAUUUUACCUGCAAAGCCACAUCUUGUCCCUGCUCAGAUUGUAAUGGAUCCACCCUCCAACAACACUGCCUCUCUUUAAAACGAGAGCGUCAUCAAAGCUUCAGGAAUGGGCACUUUCUCGAUUGCCAAAGUGCUUACUUCUACAAGCAGGAGAGCCAGAAAUUAUUCCCCAAUGCCCACAUAAAGAGCUGGUCAACUGAUCGGGAAAGAUGGGUCAAGGGUUAAGAGCAUUUAUUUCUCUUCCUUCCUCAGGACCCAGGUUUUGUUCCCAGCACCCAUAUGGCAGCUCACAACCAUCUGUAACUCCAGCUCCAGCACUUUCUCUGACCUCCAUGGGCACCAGGCACACAAACAAAGAUACAGGCAAACACAUAUACAAAUAAAGUAAAUCUGAGAACAAAAGCUGAGCAUCAUGGUACACCCAACACGGGGGAAGCAGAAGCCAGUUGGAGCUUGCUGGUCAGCAGCCUAACCUACCUCGAUACGUUGAAAGCUGAGCAUGGUGACACAGACCAACUACUCCAACUCUGAUGCUCCAACAGGAUUAUCAUGAGGACGUGUACCUAGUGUGCAACUGCCUGGGUUCAAUACCUACCAGCAAAAGUCAAGCAAAACCAGACCCGCAUGGUGUAUGGAGUAAGAGUGAGUAUUCCCCACUUUGGACCAAGCACCUUUGCAUAUGCGUAUGGAAAAGGGUCCCAUUGUACUCCCCAAGCUGCUUUGAACAUAUUUUAUAGCCCAGAGUGGCCUCAAAUUCACCAUCCUCCUGCCUCAGCCUCCACAGUACUGGGAUUCGGGUAUACUCUACCACUCCUGGUCAACAACUCAGACUGUUGACAUGUG